rnacentral:misc_RNA from 1 species
GAUGAAGAACGCAGCGAAAUGCGAUACGUAGUGUGAAUUGCAGAAUUCCGUGAACCAUCAAAUCUUUGAACGCAUAUUGCGCUCGAGGCUUCGGCCGAGAGCAUGUCUGCCUUAGCGUCGGUAUUACCCCUCGCUUCUCAACCCCUGGUUGAUGCCUGCCUGCCUUUGCAGUUGGCUAGAAGCGGAUCUGGCUUUCCCAAUUGCCUUUGGUAGUUGGGUCAGCUGAAGCACAGAGGCUUGAGCAAGGACCCUUAUUGGGCUUCAACUGGAUAGGUAGAACUGGUCUUAGGACCAACUACACGAAGUUGUUGCUUGUGGUCUUUGUCUGGAGGCCAGCAGGAAACCUUUAUACCUUCGACCUGAGCUCAGGCAAGAUUACCCGCUGAACUUAAGCAUAUCAAUAAGCGGAGGA